rnacentral:rRNA from 8 species
GGUUGACCUCGGAUCAGGUAGGGAUACCCGCUGAACUUA